UAGGGAAUCUUCCGCAAUGGGCGAAAGCCUGACGGAGCAACGCCGCGUGAGUGAUGAAGGUCUUCGGAUCGUAAAACUCUGUUAUUAGGGAAGAACAAAUGUGUAAGUAACUAUGCACGUCUUGACGGUACCUAAUCAGAAAGCCACGGCUAACUACGUGCCAGCAGCCGCGUUAAUACGUAGGUGGCAAGCGUUAUCCGGAAUUAUUGGGCGUAAAGCGCGCGUAGGCGGUUUUUUAAGUCUGAUGUGAAAGCCCACGGAUCAACCGUGGAGGGUCAUUGGAAACUGGAAAACUUGAGUGCAGAAGAGGAAAGUGGAAUUCCAUGUGUAGCGGUGAAAUGCGCAGAGAUAUGGAGGAACACCAGUGGCGAAGGCGACUUUCUGGUCUGUAACUGACGCUGAUGUGCGAAAGCGUGGGGAUCAAACAGG
rnacentral:rRNA from 1 species